AAAACACAAACUGGCAGUGCAUCAUGCUUACAACUCAAAAGUCAUUGAACUCAAUUCAAAAUUUGUCUUAGUAUGAUACAAUAAUGUGACAACAUUUAAUAAUGAUGAUGAUAAUCAAGAGGAAUUUCUAAGUAUGAUUUUACAAUGAUGAAGCAAUGUAUACAUCUCUGUUUAAUGAAUUUCCUCCCAAAUACAAUACUUGUCAAAG
rnacentral:misc_RNA from 1 species